GUGCUCGCUUCAGUAGCACUAAAAUUGGAACUAUACAGAAGAUUUGCUUGGCCCAUGAGCAAGGAUCACACACAAAUUCGUGAGGUGUUUCAUAUUAAA
ensembl:snRNA U6 U6 spliceosomal RNA